ACGUAGGCAGCAAGCGUUGUUCGGAAUUACUGGGCGUAAAGAGUACGUAGGUGGUUUGCUAAGUCCGAUGUGAAAUCUCCUGGCUUAACUGGGAGGGUGCGUUAGAUACUGGCAGGCUUGAGUGUGGGAGAGGAGAGCGGAAUUCCUGGUGUAGCGGUGAAAUGCGUAGAUAUCAGGAGGAACGCCUGUGGUGUAGACGGCUCUCUGGACCAUUACUGACACUGAGGUACGAAAGCGUGGGGAGCAAACAGGA
rnacentral:rRNA from 1 species